UACAGAGGGUGCGAGCGUUAAUCGGAAUUACUGGGCGUAAAGCGCGCGUAGGCGGCUUUUCAAGUCGAUUGUGAAAUCCCCGGGCUUAACCUGGGAACUGCAGUCGAGACUGUCUAGCUAGAGUAUGGGAGAGGGAAGUGGAAUUUCAGGUGUAGCGGUGAAAUGCGUAGAGAUUUGGAGGAACACCAGUGGCGAAGGCGACUUUCUGGUCUGUAACUGACACUGAGGCGCGAAAGCGUGGGGAGCAAACAGG
rnacentral:rRNA from 1 species